rnacentral:rRNA from 1 species
GAUGAACGCUAGCGGCAGGCCUAACACAUGCAAGUCGAACGGGUGGUCGCAAGACCACUGGUGUCGCACGGGUGCGUACCGCGUAACCAACCUUCCCCGAUCUGGGGGAUAGCUCGCCGUAAGGCGGAUUAAUACCGCAUAUACCCGCAGCCUGGCUUCAGGCAACGGGGAAGGAUUUGUUGGAUUGGGCUGGGGUUGCGUGACUUUCGCUAGUUGGCGGGGUAAGGGCCCUCCAAGGCGACGAUGUCUAGGGGACCUGAGAGGGUGAACCCCCACACUGGGACUGAGACACGGGGCAGACGCCAAGGGGAGGCAGCGGUAGGGAAGAUGGGGCGAUGGGCGAGAUCCUGACCCAGCCAGGCAGCGUGCCGGAUGAAGGGCUUCUGGGUUGUAAACGGCGUUUCUAAGGGAAGAAAAAGACCUUGCGAGGUACACUGACGGUACCUGAGGAAUAAGCACCGGCUAACUCCGUG